rnacentral:rRNA from 1 species
UACGUAGGGUGCGAGCGUUUAAUCGGAAUUACUGGGCGUAAAGCGUGCGCAGGCGGCGGCUCAAGUCAGGUGUGAAAUCCCCGGGCUUAACCUGGGAAUUGCGCUUGAAACUAGGUCGCUAGAGUGUGGCAGAGGGGGGUGGAAUUCCACGUGUAGCAGUGAAAUGCGUAGAGAUGUGGAGGAACACCGAUGGCGAAGGCAGCCCCCUGGGUCAACACUGACGCUCAUGCACGAAAGACGUGGGGAGCAAACAGG